UGUCCGUUUCUGUCGAUCCCAUAAUGCUUUGGGUCAAGUUAAUAUGGCGUACGUUUAGACCUCUUCCCUUGUCUUUACUCAUCUAAGGAUUUCGCCGUCCUUUUCUAGAUGACGACACAUUACAAUUCUGAAAUUAUAAGAACGUCAACCUCUAUUGAUCCUUUGUGCAUGAAAACAGUUAUCAUCAUAAAAAGAAAUGUUUAAAAAUAAAUAUUCGAAUAAGAACCUGCAAUAACAAUCACUUCCCAAAGGCAUUACCUGGUAACUGCGGCCAUUUUCCUGAACGUUGCUGUUUGAAAUUCAUACAGAAUUACCGCAAAACAAUGACCAAAUUUUUCGUGUUGUUGCCCGUGUACGUUGUUCAAAGGUUUUUAGACAAAUUAACUCCUCUAAGAGGGACAAAAAGUACUUUAAACGAUUAGAGAAUGAAUACUAGAAAAUUAAUCAUAAAAAACUUGUAAGUAAUGCUACUUGUAACUAGAAAUAACUAGUAAAUAGAAACAAAUUAGGUACUACUGAACUUUCAUUACUUACUGUAACCCCAAGUUAAAUAUGCUGUAAAAGUAUCUACAUACAAUAAGACCUGAUUAAAACGGAAACCUGUGAAACUAGAAAAAAUAUUUGGUAUCGUGCGAUUCCGGCUUAUAAAGGUUUCACUGUGCUAAGUUAAUAUCGUUAGUAUUUAAGAUAUUACACUAUCAUCGUGAUGAUUAUUUUUCAGUUUGAUAGCCUAGACGAUUAAGUGAUCAACUUAACGCUCCGGAGGAUCCGGGAUCGAGUCUAGACAGUAUAUUCGGCAAUAUUUUCAUGAUAAUUUGUCCCCGGGUCCAUCCUUCAUCAUCUGGAUGCCCCUGUUUUGGGCCUGGCUGAACCCACGAUUGGUUUGGAAAAAAGACCCAUAGUGUGCACAAGAAGGAAAGAGUUGAAAAGAUAUGUUUCAGUUGGUUUGAGUGAAUACGACUAGAAACUAUAAUUAU